GCUAAAGUAGCAAAAUGGUAAUGCGAUAGAUUUAGGAUUUGUUAUUAAAGGUUCAAAUCCUUUCUUUAGUU
rnacentral:tRNA from 1 species